rnacentral:tRNA from 1 species
AAGGAAUUAGUUAAAAUAUAACAUUAAUAUGUCAUAUUAAAAUUAUUAUUUAAAUAAUAUUCCUUU